rnacentral:rRNA from 1 species
UACAGAGGUGGCAAGCGUUGUUCGGAAUUACUGGGCGUAAAGGGCGCGUAGGCGGCCCGUCAAGUCCCGUGUGAAAGCCCCCGGCUCAACCGGGGAACGGCGCGGGAAACUAGCAGGCUUGAGUUCGGGAGAGGGAAGCGGAAUUCCGGGUGUAGCGGUGAAAUGCGCAGAUAUCCGGAGGAACACCGGUAGCGAAGGCGGCUUCCUGGACCGACACUGACGCUGAGGCGCGAAAGCUAGGGGAGCAAACGGG